UGCCACUCUUAACGGGGUGGCUUUUCAGAAGUGUAAAAAGCUUCUGGAAUAAGGGCUGGGCAAGACCGGUGCCAGCCGCCGCGGUAACACCGGCAGCUCAAGUGGUAGCCGCUUUUAUUGGGCCUAAAGCGUCCGUAGCCGGUCUGAUAAGUCUCUGGUGAAAUCCCACAGCUUAACUGUGGGAAUUGCUGGAGAUACUAUCAUGACUCGAGGUCGGGAGAGGCUGGAGGUACUCCCAGGGUAGGGGUGAAAUCCUGUAAUCCUGGGAGGACCACCUGUGGCGAAGGCGUCCAGCUGGAACGAACCUGACGGUGAGGGACGAAAGCCAGGGGCGCGAACCGGAUUAGAUACCCGGGUAGUCCUGGCCGUAAACGAUGUGGACUUGGUGUUGAGAUGGCUUCGAGCUGCCCCAGUGCCGAAGGGAAGCAGUUAAGUCCACCGCCUGGGAAGUACGGCCGCA
rnacentral:rRNA from 1 species